AAAUUGUAAGAAUGAGAAGCGUAUUCGCGUAUUUGUAUUCACAUGAACAUAAUGAAAGAUGAUCAUAAGAUUUGAAGAUUGAAACACAGAGAUUAGUGUUGGUUGAAAAAGCGCGAGUUUGGUGUGAAAGCAGCUUAUUAAGGUCGGGUCUAGCGUGGUGUUGCAGUGCAGCUUGCCUGGCAGCUUCAGUUCGAUGUUUACGCUCGUGCUUCGAACAUUUUUCUUUGGGGCUGUGCGCGAUUCGCGGCGUGAUUCCAUUCUGAUAUUUUGUCUUUCUUUCGUGGAUAAGAUUUUCCGUAUCUGACUGUGUCAACGUGAUCCUCUGGCUUUACAAUGUUAUUUUCGGAUUUGUCUAUCCAAGGAAUCCCAUAUUGCAUUGCAGGAUUAUAGAACUUAAUGUACUUUCAAUUAUUUAUAAAGUUUAAACAAUUAAAUUAUUCAAUUUAUAAUAUAUAAUACAUAUAUAUUAUAAUAGAAACUACAUAUUCAUAAUAAAAUUUGAACAUCAUAAUAAUUAUAUAUCAAUCAUUAAAAAUGGCGUGUAUCCAAACUUAUGAAGGAGAAUGUACAUGAGUAGCAGCUUCGGUAGCAGACGCAUAUUGGGAUCGCAUCGCAUCUAUUAACGAGAGAGGCAGGUGUUCUAUUAUUCUGAGAAUUAUCUGGCGUUAUCACAUGUUUAAUUCGCUUAUUUAUUUAU